rnacentral:snRNA from 1 species
UGUGAUGGCGAUCUGGCUGCAACAUCUGUCACCCCGUUGAUCGCCAGGGUUGAUUCGGCUGAUCUGGCUGGCUAGGCAGGUAUCCCCUUCCUCCCUCACCGCUCCAUGUGCGUCCCUCCCGAAGCUUGCGUGCUCAGCCGAAGAGGACGACCUUCCCCGAUAGAGAAGGUACCGUUCAUCUGUCAAGGGCAUAUGGUAGCUGCGCUCCCCUGCUAGAACCUCCAAAAAAGCUAUGAAAACUAUUUGUUUUCUGUCUGCUUUCCUUUUGAUUAGUGAUUACUAUUUUGUAAAUUUUUUGGAAAAUAACAUGCUGUCAAAGACUGCGUCUUUGAUUUGCU